rnacentral:rRNA from 1 species
GACGUAGGGCGCAAGCGUUUGUCCGGAUUUAUUGGGCGUAAAGAGCUCGUAGGCGGCUUGUUGCGUCGACCGUGAAAACCCGUGGCUCAACUGCGGGCUUGCGGUCGAUACGGGCGGGCUAGAGUUCGGUAGGGGGAGACUGGAAUUCAGGUGUGAGCGGUGGAAAUGACGUAGAUAUCUGGAGGAACACCGGUGGCGAAGGCGGGUCUCUGGGCAGUAACUGACGCUGAGGAGCGAAAGCGUGGGGAGCGAACAGG